UGAGUUAGCGGCGGACGGGUGAGUAACACGUGGGUAACCUGCCCAUAAGACUGGGAUAACUCCGGGAAACCGGGGCUAAUACCGGAUAACAUUUUGAACCGCAUGGUUCGAAAUUGAAAGGCGGCUUCGGCUGUCACUUAUGGAUGGACCCGCGUCGCAUUAGCUAGUUGGUGAGGUAACGGCUCACCAAGGCAACGAUGCGUAGCCGACCUGAGAGGGUGAUCGGCCACACUGGGACUGAGACACGGCCCAGACUCCUACGGGAGGCAGCAGUAGGGAAUCUUCCGCAAUGGACGAAAGUCUGACGGAGCAACGCCGCGUGAGUGAUGAAGGCUUUCGGGUCGUAAAACUCUGUUGUUAGGGAAGAACAAGUGCUAGUUGAAUAAGCUGGCACCUUGACGGUACCUAACCAGAAAGCCACGGCUAACUACGUGCCAGCAGCCGCGGUAAUACGUAGGUGGCAAGCGUUAUCCGGAAUUAUUGGGCGUAAAGCGCGCGCAGGUGGUUUCUUAAGUCUGAUGUGAAAGCCCACGGCUCAACCGUGGAGGGUCAUUGGAAACUGGGAGACUUGA
rnacentral:rRNA from 2 species